rnacentral:rRNA from 1 species
GGUGAACGCUGGCGGCGUGCCUAAAACAUGCAAGUCGAACGGAACCUUCGGGUUUAGUGGCGAACGGCGGAGUAAUUACAUAAAUAACUUGCCCCAAAGACUGGGAUAGUCAGUCGAAAGGCUGAGUAAUACCAGAUGUGGUUUUUAAGAGGCAUCUCUUAAAAAUUAAAUGGAUUUAUUCGCUUUGGGAGAGAUUUGUGUCUUAUCAGUUAGUUGGUGGGGUAAUGGCCUACCAAGACGACGACGAGUAGGGGGUCUGAGAGGAUGAUCCCCCCGAGUGGGACUGAGAUACGGCCCACACACCUACGGGUGGCAGCAGUUAGGAAUCUUGCACAAUGGGGGAAACCCUGAUGCAGCGACGCCGCGUGGAGGAAGAAGGCCUUUGGGUUGUAAACUCCUUUUAUCAGGAAAGACUUAGGACGGUACCUGAUGAAUAAGCUCCGGCUAACUACGUGCCAGCAGCCGCGGUAAGACGUAGGGAGCGAGCGUUACCCGGAUUUACUGGGCGUAAAGGGCGCGUAGGCGGACUGUUAAGUGAGAAGUGAAAUUCUUGGGCUCAACCCGAGAGCUGCUUUUCAUACUGGCAGUCUAGAGGAAUGUAGAGGUAGAUGGAAUUCCAGGUGUAGCGGUGGCAUGCAUAGAUAUCUGGAGGAACACCAAUGGCGAAGGCAGUCUACUGGGCAUUUCCUGACGCUGAGGCGCGAAAGCGUGGGUAGCAAACAGAAUUAGAUACUCUGGUAGUCCACGCCCUAAACGAUGGAUACUAGGCGUAGGAGAAAUAAACUUCUUCUGUGUCGUAGCAAACGCAUUAAGUAUCCCGCCUGGGGACUACGGCCGCAAGGUUGAAACUCAAAUGAAUUGACGGGGACCCGCACAAGCGGUGGAGCAUGUGGAUUAAUUCGAUAAUAACCGAAGAACCUUACCCAGGUUUGACAUUGAGGGACAGGUGUAGAGAUACACCCUUCCAUCCACAAGAUGGACCCGAAAACAUCUGUUGCAUGGCUGUCGUCAGCUCGUGCCGUGAGGUGUUUGGUUAAGUCCAGCAACGAGCGCAACCCUCGUCCUAUGUUGCCAUAGAGUAAUUUCUGGAACUCAUAGGAGACUGCCGGUGUAAGCCGGAGGAAGGUGAGGAUGAUGUCAAGUCAGCAUGGCGAUUACGCCUGGGGCUUCACACAUGCUACAAUGCGUGCAACAAAGGGUCGCAAAGCCGUGAGGCCUAGCUAAUCCCAAAAAUACACGCCCAGUUCAGAUUGUAGUCUGCAACUCGACUACAUGAAGGCGGAAUCGCUAGUAAACGCAGGUCAGCUAUACUGCGUUGAAUACGUUCCCGGGUCUUGUACACACCGCCCGUCAAGUCACCCGAAUUGUUUGUACCCGAAAAUAGUGGCCUAACCGUAAGGAGGGAGCUAUUGAAGGUAUGGGGGGUAAGGGGGACU